rnacentral:rRNA from 1 species
CCUACGGGGUGCAGCAGUGGGGAAUAUUGGACAAUGGGCGAAAGCCUGAUCCAGCCAUGCCGCGUGUGUGAAGAAGGCCUUCGGGUUGUAAAGCACUUUCAGUGGGGAAGAAAGCCUUGGGGCUAAUACCCUCGAGGAAGGACAUCACCCACAGAAGAAGCACCGGCUAACUCCGUGCCAACAGCCGCGGUAAUACGGAGGGUGCGAGCGUUAAUCGGAAUUACUGGGCGUAAAGCGCGCGUAGGCGGUCUGAUAAGCCGGUUGUGAAAGCCCCGGGCUCAACCUGGGAACGGCAUCCGGAACUGUCAGGCUAGAGUGCAGGAGAGGAAGGUAGAAUUCCCGGUGUAGCAGUGAAAUGCGUAGAGAUCGGGAGGAAUACCAGUGGCGAAGGCGGCCUUCUGGACUGACACUGACGCUGAGGUGCGAAAGCGUGGGUAGCAAACAGGAUUAGAUACCCCAGUAGUC